rnacentral:misc_RNA from 1 species
UUUCCGUAGGUGAACCUGCGGAAGGAUCAUUAAAGAGACGUGGCCUUUCGGGGUCGACCUCCCAUCCUAUGAUUAUCAUACCUCUGUUGCUUUGGCACGCCCGUCCUCGGACCACCGGCACCGGCCGGUCCGUGCCUGCCAGGGGACCUAAAACUCUGUUUGUUAAUGCAGUCUGAGUACUAUGUAAUAGUUAAAACUUUCAACAACGGAUCUCUUGGUUCUG